rnacentral:rRNA from 1 species
CACGCCGUAAACGAUGAUCACUAGCUGUUGGCGAUAUACCGAUCAGCGGCAAAGCAAAAGCAUUAAGUGAUCCACCUGGGGAGUACGGCCGCAAGGCUGAAACUCAAAGGAAUUGACGGG